GUCCGGGGCGGGGGAAGGAGGCUCCCUGGCUCCCUGGGAAGUGUCGGGCAUGGUCAGGUUCUGAGAAGGGGCAAGGGACUUUGGAGAGAGAAGGACAGACGGACAAAAGUGCUUAUGCUGUAUUCCGGACAGCGCGGAGCAGGUAGGUCCGAGGCCAACUUUGGAGUAGAAUUCACUAUCGUCGGGGGUGCGGCGAGGACGCUGCGGUUGGAGUGCGGGGAUGUGGGGUUGUGUUUGGGACUCGGUGCCUGGAGGAGGAGUUGGAUUUGAGGAGGUGGACUUGGA